CAGCGACAUUCUCAAUCUCUUGCUUUCUUCCAAAACCCCCCCAGGUUUCUCUCAACACAGAGGGAUAGAUAGAUGCAAGAGCUUUCUUAGCUUUAACAUAUCACAUAUCAGCUCCCUUUCUUGCAAGUCUCUCUUUUCUUUCCUUCCUUUCUUUUCUUCAUGAAUAUAUUCUCUUAAAUUCCCAGACCUUAAUAGCUUUGUAUUCAUUCUAAAGAUCGCUUUUUGGCAUCUUGGUUUGCUUCAUUCCCCUCCUUACUUUCCCCUUUCUUUUAUCCAACCUUUCUGCCCAUGUCUAUCUAAGCCCCGUAUUCUUCAAAAGAUCACUUUUUGUCCCUCUCAUUUCACCUUUGCUAAUCUUGAGGAAAAAUCGAGGAGGGGUUGUAUGAGGCGUUAUUGGUUGUAUUAACUUUAUUUAGUCUAAGAAUAGCAGCUAUCUCAGUUGUAUUUCUUGCUUAGGAUGGGAGAUCACUUCGUUUUUCUGGUUGACCGUUUGCUCACCGAAUCGACUUUGGAGGCUGCAAUAGAGAGCAGGAAUCAGAAACAGUUGACCGUUGAGGAUAUGGCAAUAGAUUGCUCUUCUAACAAGGAUUCUGAGGCCGCUACGUCUCUGAAGAAGAUUGUUGAGUGCAGGAUAUGCCAGGAUGAAGAUUUCGACUCGAAUAUGGAGACCCCCUGCUAUUGCUGUGGUAGUUUGAAGUAUGCACAUAGGAAAUGCGUGCAAAGGUGGUGUAACGAAAAGGGUGACACUCUGUGCGAGAUAUGCAACCAGCCUUUCACGCCUGGGUAUACAGCGCCACCCCCCAUUUUUCGUCUCGGGGGAAUUCCAAUGAACUUUAGGGGAAAUUGGGGAAUUGCCAGAAGGGACUUGAAUUAUGCUCAUCUCACUGCAGUUGUUUCAGCUGAUCGGAAUUUCGUUGAUUCUUCCCAUGAUGAUUAUGCAGUUUCUACGUCAAGUUCAAAUGUGAUGUGUUUUCGUUCUAUCGCCAUAAUAUUCAUGGUUCUUCUAAUUCUCCGUCACAGUCUUCCAAUCAUCAGUGUUCAAGCAGGGGAUUAUCCGCUCCCCUUAAUCAUGGUGAGUUGCUACUCCUAAGAAUUGCCGGGGUGGCUUUUCCUAUCUACAUUAUAUUCAAAGCCGUGACUUCUUUCCUACACCGCAGACAGCAACAGGCUAAUCAAUACACUCCUCCCUCUGAUGAAGAAGCUGCUGGCUAGUUGUGAUCGAUACUAGUGUGUUCUUUACAAAGGUGUCGGGGUUCUUGAUAACCAUCCCGGGGUGCCUGCAAACACUAGUGUGUGUGUUCUUUACAAAGGUGUCGGGGUUCUUGGUAACCAUUCCGGGGUGUCUGCGCCAUCGAGCUCAUAUUGUUACCAUACAACAAUACUUCAAAUUGUGAAUAGUUUGGAAUGACAGAAAUGACAAUGUACAUCAAAAUGGAGAAAAAAGUAAUUAAGAAAAAAAAAAGGAAAAGAAAAAGAAAGUUAUUUAAAGUGUUGAAGAUUCUAGCUUGUUAUAGAGAGGUUUUAGGUAAAAACCAGUUGGAACUGUUAUUGUAUGUUCCAUUGAUCCUGUCUGUAUAGUGUUUUUACAAGGAAUGAAUGUAAACUAGUUUUUAGCUUAUGUACAUAUUCUACUUUCUUGCAUGUUAUUGUGAGCUGCAAAAUGAAAUGAUUAAUGGCUUUCUUUA